CACCAUAUAACCUACAGGUUAUUCCCUAAUAAUAUCGAUAUUUCAAUAAUGACAAAAGUUCAGCUAUUAUAACUAAAAUUCAGCUCUACAAUUCCUAACAUGAAUCCUGAAAAUGUAUACUAAGUCUGCAUCCACAACUUAUUCUAGCGGCAGUAAAUCCAUAUAAUUUUCAGUAAUCAAAUAAGUUGCUCGAGCUGAAUGACUACUACUGCAUUUCGACUGACAGGAUUCCCACGAGGUCCCCAUUAUAGACAUCAGAUGCAAGAGAAUUUAAACAAACACUAGAGCUAGAAUGACAAGCCAAAAUCCACAUAUAGGAGGAUUUGAAUAGUAAAUUUAAUACAUCAAAGGAAUACACGACUUAUCCCUAAAGAACAUGUAUCUUUGUUCAAGCUCAUUCUCAUUCAUACUCAAGCCCAAAUUGUUUACAUAGUUUUGAUAGGCAAUUCACAUGCUAAUGGGAUCCGAGAAGUACCUGGAAAUCGAAAGAGAAAUAGAAGGGGUGAGAAUCAACAGAGUAGCAACAGCACAACACCCAGAUUUAAUGAAACAGUAAUCCCAAUUGCAAGAACUCAAAAUCAAGCUUUAAGAAAAUCAUACUUCAAGGCAUUGGAACCAAGAUGCGGGACUUUGGAUCUUUUCAUAAAAAGGAUUUUCCUAACCAGAUGAAAGAAAAAAAACACCACAUAUGCAGGAUUUAAGAGUUUUCCAAACAAGAAAUGCAAGGAAUUCAGAAUUUUCUCAAAGAACCUAGCCGCUUCAGUUUUAAGGAAUUUUUU
rnacentral:lncRNA from 1 species